rnacentral:rRNA from 1 species
CCUACGGGUGGCAGCAGUGGGGAAUAUUGCACAAUGGGGGAAACCCUGAUGCAGCGACGCCGCGUGAGUGAAGAAGUAAUUCGGUUUGUAAAGCUCUAUCAGCAGGGAAGAAAAUGACGGUACCUGAGUAAGAAGCCCCGGCUAACUACGUGCCAGUAGCCGCGGUAAUACGUAGGGGGCAAGCGUUAUCCGGAUUUACUGGGUGUAAAGGGAGCGUAGAUGGCAGGGCAAGCCGGAAGUGAAAGGCGGGGGCCCAACCCGCGGAUUGGUCUGGGAACUGUCAGGCUGGAGUGCUGGAGUGGUAAGUGGAAUUCCUAGUGUAGCGGUGAAAUGCGUAGAUAUUAGGAGGAACACCAGUGGCGAAGGCGGCUUACUGGACAGUAACUGACGUUGAGGCUCGAAAGCGUGGGGAGCAAACAGGAUUAGAUACCCUUGUAGUC